UCCAGGCCGCCCUGCACCGUGAAGCCCCACGGAGCUCCCCCCUGCAGCCGGGCCUCCACCAGCACCCAGCCGCCUCCCCCUCCGCCCGCCGGCUGGAGCCCCGCCCGGCCGCGGCUCUCCAUGUCCGGCCUGCGGGGCUGGAACCCAGAAUGAAGCGAACCCCGGAUCCUUCACAGGUGCAUCGCUGCUCAUUUACAAAUCCUGUGGUUUGUAGAGAAACAGAGAUGGGGGGGGGGGGUCCAGUCCUCCCCGCAGGGCGCGUUCCCGGCGCGCGCGCAGAAAGACGCGGAUCCCGCGGCGGUUAAAGUCCAACAGGAGGCCGGAUGGAGUCUGGAAGGAGUCCCGAAAGUUUGAGAGGAGAAGAAGGAGAAUCUGCUCCAACUGAGACCCGCAGCUUCUGCUCUCCUUCCCUCUCUGCCCAGAUCAGUUUAGCAUCACAAUAGGAUUUACUGCGACUCACUGAGCAAAGAGAAAAGACAGGAGGAGGAGGAGGAGGAGGAGGUGCAGAGAGGAGGAGGCAUGAGGAGGACAGGCCGAGCGAGCUGAAGGAAACCGAAAACACGGCGGAGCAGGAAUGCAGAUCAGCUGGGAGUAAAAAAAGGAUGUUGGAGUCAAAGGGCGACUUUCUAAUCCGAUCCUCCACACCAGAGCUGGACUCGGUUUGCUUUCACACUGGAACCAGAUUAAAACCAGAUUACAGCUUCUGCUGGUUGCAUUGCUUUAGAAACCAAAUCAGCUGUUUGGAGGUUCAGGAUCCUGGAAUAUCUGAUCCGAGUCUCCAGGUCCGUCAGAUGGCAGGAACCUGGACUGAGGUUCUGCAGGUGGAACCCAGCACCUCAACGUUUCUUCAAAGAAAAAAUUUUCCCUACUGAGCAAAAGUUGAUUUCCCAUAAAAACGCCACAAAACAUUGAUAGUUGGUUAGACACUGACCUCUAGUGGCAGAUAAUGAGAUAGCAACCAAUCUGAUUUAUGUGAGCUUGAACUGUAGAGUAAACUUUGAAAUAACUAAACUUGUCACAAAAACAAU